GAUGAACGCUGGCGGCGUGCCUAAUACAUGCAAGUCGAGCGAACAGACGAGGAGCUUGCUCCCCUGACGUUAGCGGCGGACGGGUGAGUAACACGUGGAUAACCUACCUAUAAGACUGGGAUAACUUCGGGAAACCGGAGCUAAUACCGGAUAAUAUAUUGAACGGCAUGGUUCAAUAGUGAAAGACGGCUUUCCCGUCACUUAUAGCUGAAUCCGCGCCGCAUUAGCUAGUUGGUAAGGUAACGGCUUACCAAGGCAACGAUGCGUAGCCGACCUGAGAGGAUGAUCAGCCACACUGGAACUGAGACACGGUCCAGACUCCUACGGGAGGCAGCAGUAGGGAAUCUUCCGCAAUGGGCGAAAGCCUGACGGAGCAACGCCGCGUGAGUGAUGAAGGUCUUCGGAUCGUAAAGCUCUGUUAUUAGGGAAGAACAAAUGUAUAAGUAACUAUGCACGUCUUGACGGUACCUAAUCAGAAAGCCACGGCUAACUACGUG
rnacentral:rRNA from 1 species